AGAGUUUGAUCCUGGCUCAGGACGAACGCUGGCGGCGUGCUUAACACAUGCAAGUCGAACGAUGAUGCACCUUUUGGGGUGUGGAUUAGUGGCGAACGGGUGAGUAACACGUGAGUAACCUGCCCCUUUCUUUGGGAUAACUGUCGGAAACGGUGGCUAAUACCGGAUAUUCAUAUGCUGUCGCAUGGUGGUGUGUGGAAAGAUUUUUUGGUGGGGGAUGGGCUCGCGGCCUAUCAGUUUGUAGGUGAGGUGAUGGCUCACCAAGGCGUUGACGGGUAGCCGGCCUGAGAGGGCGACCGGCCACACUGGGACUGAGAUACGGCCCAGACUCCUACGGGAGGCAGCAGUGGGGAAUAUUGCACAAUGGGCGGAAGCCUGAUGCAGCGACGCCGUGUGCGGGAUGACGGCCUUCGGGUUGUAAACCGCUUUCAACUGUGACGAAUUUGACGGUAGCAGUAGAAGAAGCACCGGCUAACUACGUGCCAGCAGCCGCGGUGAUACGUAGGGUGCGAGCGUUGUCCGGAUUUAUUGGGCGUAAAGGGCUCGUAGGCGGUCUAUUGCGUCGGGAGUGAAAACCUGCGGCUUAACUGUGGGCUUGCUUUCGAUACGGGUGGACUUGAGGAGGGUAGGGGAGAACGGAAUUCCUGGUGGAGCGGUGGAAUGCGCAGAUAUCAGGAGGAACACCGGUGGCGAAGGCGGUUCUCUGGACCUUUCCUGACGCUGAGGAGCGAAAGCGUGGGGAGCAAACAGGCUUAGAUACCCUGGUAGUCCACGCUGUAAACGGUGGGUACUAGGUGUGGGAUCCUUUCCGUGGGUUCUGUGCCGUAGCUAACGCAUUAAGUACCCCGCCUGGGGAGUACGGCCGCAAGGCUAAAACUCAAAGGAAUUGACGG
rnacentral:rRNA from 1 species